AACUUAUAUUUGGUUCAGCUCUUAGGAACCUGUUUCUGUGAUGGGUGCCAGGUCAAGAAAUGCUGAGCUUAUCGAAUGGAAGGCCUGAGGCAAGCUGUCAACCCAUGUGGUAGACAGGUGCAUGACAGAUGGGCAGUGCAAAGUCCAGAGUGCGGCACCCGGGAGUCACACAUAAAACAUGCCAGAGUGAAGGGCUGAGGGUCCCCUGAGGAGAGGGUUGUGAGAUGGAGUUUCAGCACCCUGGGGGAGUUCUCAGAUGAGCCAACUGUCCUGCAAACCUCCCCAGAAGUCCUUUCUGCUGUAUGGCUACAGAGUCUGUUUUCUCUUCCUCAAACACCUAAAGAUGUCCUUGACUGCCUGUCUUUCUGCUGCCUUCCAGGGCACGACUGAAGUCACCAGACUGUCACAGGUCGACUCUCAGAAGAUAACCAUGGAAGGACAAGGAAAAGAACAUGGGAGCAGAAGGGAUUCCUGUGAUACGGGAUAUGCUUUGCAAUUGUGAAGCGGUGCCCGAGUACAACCCUCCUAGGAACUAUAGACCCUGACAUUUGUGCCCUGACCGGGACAUCACCCGUGGAGAUGGCUCCGGGCUCAGUAAAGCUGUUUCCAAUGGA